rnacentral:tRNA from 1 species
GGGCCUAUAGUUAAAUGGUAGAACACCUCAUUUGCAAUGAGGAGAUGCGAGUUCGAUUCUCGCUAGGUCCA